rnacentral:misc_RNA from 1 species
GAUGAAGAACUUAGUGAAAUGCGAAAAGUAAUGUGAAUUGCAGAAUUCAGUGAACCAUCGAAUCUUUGAACGCACAUUGCGCCCGCUGGAACUCCGGCGGGCACGCCUGUCCGAGCGUCAUUUCAACCCUCAGGCCCCCCUUCGCGGGCGGGCCUGGUGUUGGGGCCCGGCCGCUACCCUGCGGCCGUCCCCUAAAUUCAGUGGCGGCCUCGCCGUGAUCCCUUGCGUAGUAAUGCACCUCGCACCGGAGAGCGCCGUGGCCACGCCGUAAAACCCCCAAUUUUCAAUGGUUGACCUCGGAUCAGGUGGGAAUACCCGCUGAACUUAAGCAUAUCAAUAAGCGGAGGA